rnacentral:lncRNA from 10 species
CUCAGCAACGUCAUCCUGAAGCUAUCCCAGCACACUCGAACCAAAAAGAAGUUCCCCUCCCAUGCGCCACUACAUGGUAUUCAGGUGUGAUGCCUCUGGAAAUACCAGAAGACUUUUCCAGGAAUCUCCAAGCAUAGAGAAUGUUGAAGGAAUCAGCUCCCCACUCAUGGAUUUCUGAAUACCCUUUCCUCAACUUGUACCCAAGAACACUCCACGGUAUAGGCUGGCACGAUGACCUGGUGGCUGUCGUCUCCCACCUCCCCUUUCACAGCCAUCCCUUCCCCACCCUAUAAAAGAAAGACAUGCCCCUAACUCACCUCGAAUGUUGUGGCUUUGCCUCUGCAGCAUACAACAAGAAACUACAUGUGUCCAGAGGCCUCAUCGACUCAUGACACUAUAAAGCACCUAAUCCAGCUAAGACUUCACUUCCAAUGACAUUUAUGUUUUAUAUUUAGUUAACAGGUAUAAAAAUUUGCAAUAUGUAUAUUUUGCUCUGAUAAGUUGCAUAUUAAAAAUAAUUGUAAUAGCAAUCCAAUGCAGAAAACAAUGUUAACACUUAAUAGCCUUAAUAGAUAAGGGAAUUUAAAAAUUUAAAUUUCAAAUUAUAUGCAUAUUUUUGAUGCAGGAAUCCUCAAAGUAUGAUAGGGUGAAUAACAAAAAGAUUUUUAAGUGUAAAAAUAUGUUAAUUUAAAAUUCUGAAGGGGAAGAACAGUA